GUGCUAGCUUCGGCAGCACAUAUACUAAAAUUGGAACGAUACAGAGAAGAUUAGCAUGGCUAAGAGGCAAGCUAAAAAUAUGGAACGCUUCACGAAUUUGCGUGUCAUCCUUGCGCAGGGCAAGGAUGACACGCAAAUUCGUGAAGCGUUCCUUAUUUUU